UGAAAUAUUUGUUCAUUUGCCCUCUGAAC
rnacentral:piRNA from 1 species